CAGCACUUCCUCCUCGCAGAUGCAGCUGUUCGCCCACUAGUGUCAUUGAUGCUUCUGCCAUCAGUGGCUGCCACUGGCUCCCAGCAGCAAUAAUCCCCCAAAGCAUCUCUUACUCCAAGUGCUCUGAUGAGAGAGUCCAGCAGUGAUCAUCUUUGGAACUCGGUAGUGUUCUUGCCUUUCUGCAGGUGCUCUCACCUCUAAGUCGCAUGUGGCAUCCACAACAUCUAGUGAGCUGGGCGCUUCUCCAAAGGGCAAACUCAGCUCAGGCAUGCAGAGCCUGUGGUGAUAUGUACCUUCACACCACACUCUUCCCAUGAACCUCACUGGCUCGUUGGUUCAGUCAUCAACAAUUGUUUAUUGAAUGCCAGGUGUGUGUCAGAUGCUCUGCUGUGCUAGGGACUUUCAGAGGAAUUUAAAAAUUGCCUGAGCCUCUAAGGUGAGGAUUAGUAGGAAAGAUCCAAAUGAAAAACAAAGCAGAGCAAACAAUAACACUGAUUAGGCAACGUCAGAGAUGUGUUUAGACAAACCAGAGUUGAGAGGAAGCGAAGAUGAACCCUCCUCCGAGAUCCCCUCGAGUCUUCGUGGAGGGUGCAAAUGCUCAGGCUUUCUUUUUUUUCUUUUCUUUUUUUUUUUUUUUUUAUUUCCUUUUUUCUUUUGGAGAGAUUUAAAUAAAGACAUGGAUUUUCCAAUUUCUUUAAAAAUUCCCUGGGACGUCAGGAAGCCCUGAAGAUAAAUGUAUGGUUGCCAUCUGUCGUGCUUCACCAGUGUGUAACCACAUUACUUUAUUCAAGUUUAUCUGCAGGUCAGAUUCUUUGUUUCCUUCUGUAGGUCCAGUUAGUCAAGUUCAGGGACUAGUCCACAUUACUGUGCAUUUGCACAAAGAGAUUCUGGACCCCUUCCUCCUCAUCUAAGUAGCACCUGCUUCUGCUUUGUAUAUUCCAAUGAAGUGACCCAAAUAAUAGGAAUUUCAGGAAAAGGGAGGCAAAUAAAUUUGAACAAGUGACAUGGGAGCUAUAGAAACCAUGUUAGAUAGAUCAUUGUCAGCUUAAUUUAUUUUGGCAUUUCUCUAUGGAAUGAUACUCUUCAUUCAGUUCCUAUGAUAUUAUAAAACUCAACAAAUUUAGCUUUAUAAUUAUAAAAAUAACACACAAACAACGCAGCUUUGCAAAUCUGUGUGAAGUACUUUAUUUGCAGCCAGAGGAGAAAAUUUAAACUUUGGUUGCCUUGUUUGCUGCCGUGUGGUUUUAUGUUCAGCUAACACUGUAGCAAUAUCUUUGUAAACUCUAUAUUUAUCUGGAAUUUUUUGUGCUCAGUGAUUUUUAUCAAACAACUGUUUCCCUGAUUACCCAAAAUAUGCAUGCUGAUAGUUGACACAGAUAAUAUAAAGAUAUGUAAAAAAGUUCUUCAUAACCUCAUCACCAGAACCAAUCUUUAUUCAUAUUUUAACAUACUUCUUUCCAUGUGCAAAAAUGUCUCUGUGUUAAUGCACACACUCUCCCCUUUACAGUUUACAUCAUAUCAUAUAUGUAGCAUCAUAUCCUAUGACUAAUUAGCAUUAUAUAUCACAUGUUUAUUGUUUUAUGAAAAUGAGAUACUCCAUAUAUUGUUUAGCAAUGUGCUUUUUUGCUUUGCAAAGCCUGGAGAUCAUCUUGUCUUCUCCACGUGUUUUAUUAUUAAAAAUCAUUUUCUAAUUUGAUAAAAGCAUGGUACUUAUUACUAUUUUCACUUGCAUUUGUUUGUGUAUUAUUUAGAAAGCAACAUCAAAUCUUACUGUUGAUUUUUUUGUCUUCUCCUUUAUUUUCAGUCGUCUGCCUCUGGUAUCUUUGGCCUGAUUUUCUUGUGAUGUAGUCAUCUUUCUUUUAUUGAUUUUUAAGACAUUUUUACAUAUUAAGGUAAGUAAUCCUGUGUCUGUUGUGUAUGGUUCAAAUUUAAAUAUAUAUAUAUAUAUAUAUAUAUAUACAC
rnacentral:lncRNA from 1 species